CUUAUACUCCCUCCGUCCCAAAAUUCUUGUCUUAGAUAGUCUAGAUAUGGAUGUAUCUAAUACCAGCACGUGACUUGAUACAUCCGUAUUUAGAUAAAUUUAAGACAAGAAUUUUGGGGCAGAGGGAGUAUUUC
rfam:Triticum urartu cultivar G1812 contig441287, whole genome shotgun sequence.